ACAGCAAAAAUGCCAGUGUUGAUUUUUCAGUGUUAGUAGAAUUCAACAGAGUUCCGAGUUAGUUCAACACUUAAUCGAGUUAAAAUAACACAUCGGGAGUUGAUUCCUGAAAAGUGUUGGUGUGGAUUUUAGUCGUUACUGCAUUUUAACACUGUGGGUGUUAAAUUAGACCACACCUUCAUUUCCUGUGGAGCUUCGCAUUUCAGAAUCUUCGGUCGCCAUUUUUUCUUGCUGCUGCGGUAAGUUUUAUUCGGUUAAAUAUUAAGUUUUAGAUUGAUGUUAGAACAAGUAACAUGAUAACUAGUAAAAAAAAUAGUAUUUAUAUCAAAAUACAUCAUCUUUAAGUGUCAUAUUUGAAUUUUAACUGUUUUUUGUUUAGCUGGGCUACUGCUAGCUAGAACUCUGCAAAGUACCAGUUACUUUCCUAAUAUUCAUUUAGCAUAAUCUGGCUAUUGGCAGACUGUAAUGAAUAUUACUUAAUAUAUGUCACAGUUUUUAUUAAAUGCCUUUUAUUUAUUUUUUAAUUAAACUGCCAAAGCCUUAGGGUCAGUGGUCUCAAACUCCCGGCCCAGAGGCCACUUGCGGCCCACGUCACCCCUUCUUGCGGCCUGUAUAUUGAGGUGAAGAAGUAUAAUGCAAUUUGGCCCUUGAAGUGACUUUUUUUUGGUCAUUAGCCAAAAAUGAUUUAAUAUGAAGGCAAUAAGGGCAGAGUGUUACAGGCCCUCAUGGGCAGUGUAGUCCGUGCUGUAGGGAGAACGUUGUGUGUUUGAGCGCGAGUUAGGGAGAAAGUAGGAGCUGUUACCGAGGAGAAAUGGAAGAAGAAAGCAUGUAAAUAUAAUAAUAACCACUGCCGCCAAAAGGAGUGCCUGGUUGUAAGAAAGCUGUUAAGACUCGACUUUACACUGUGUUCGCUGACAGUAAAGCUACAAGCCCGACAACCCGACGUAUUAGCCAGAGGUCUCUUUACCACGGUUCAGAGCCGCGGACCUGGCCGAGGUAACAAGAGAGUACAAGCAUGUGGAGGGAUUGGCUUUGUUAGUUCAGUGAGAGUCAAAACUAAUGUGUACACUUAUUUUUAUUCUUAUUUUCUAGUCUAAAAAUGAAUAACAGGGUUAUAUUAGGGUUUGUUAGAGAGUGGGGAGGGUUUUUAUGGCUUAAAAUAUAUAAAAAAAUAGAAAUAUGGUUUCUACUGACCCCUGCAAUAAUUGAGAGAAUACUGUAUUGCAGUCAUGUUACACAGCUUGUACUACUUAAAGAUGGACCAAGGAUGUUUUUUCUUAACAAAAUGAAUUUUAGCUCAGUCUAAAGGGACUAGACAUGCUAGAUAUUUUGCAAAGAAAUGGUGUUAUAUGCUUGACCUUAUUCUACUCUUGGAAGGUGGUGAUAUGCUGGUUCCUGACAAGAGAUGAAGAAAUCAAAGUCAGCUUUUCAAGACAGCCCCAAGACUCCUCGCAACCUGUGUUCAAAUGUGAGGCUGUUGUCAGGUGAUGAAUGCAAGGAAGAGGCACUCAACUGACAUGAAACAUGUCAAAGACAACAUGAAGGUGACAUUUCAACAUAGGCAAAAAGUGGUUCAAGAACCUGCCACAGCUUCUACUGUCCUGGACCUUUUCCCAAGAGUUCUGUACACCUGGCUUGGUUGACCAAGACUUCACAAUGCUGUUUGUUGGGGAGGAAGUGUCUGCUAAGUUCCUUGCAAAGUGGCCAACCAAGCCAAGGAUCAUCAAAGAUUGCAAAAAUCUGUCUCAGAGUACAGAAUUGGAUGAGCUGCUCAUUUCUGCACAGCGUUACUCUGACGAGGGUGUUUGGGACUGCGAGGCGGCUGCCAGCUUUUGCUGCUUCACUUGUACCUCCAACAUCUAAGGGAGGGAAGUCUUCAAAGAUUAGCACAUCAGAUGCUGCUCACCACCUAAUGAAAUUCAUCAAGGUGGGAGGUAGCACGGAGGCUUUUCUUAAGGCUGGCCCCACUCAGCCAUUCGUCCUGUGUGUUGGAGAAAGAAAGAACAUCAUCCAGAGUUUCUACAUUGUCCUAGAUCAAAAGGUCAUUCCCUGUGUGACACAGAUGGGAGUUGCAGGUUUUGACAAGGCAAAACUUUUCAAGGCACAUUUUUUAUUUGCCGUGUCCUUUGACAAGGCAUUGAACAACUUCUACACAUUCAUCCAGACCACCGUGUAUGGCAUUGAUGUUGGCAGUGUGAAGGAGAGUCCUCGGGUCAGGGAAACAAGAGGAAGUCUUCAUUGUACAGUUUAAAGAUAUCCACUAUUCAGCACUUUGACUGGAAAUGUUCAUCUGUUACAUUUGCAAGAUACACCACACAAGUUGCUCAGUGUUAUUUAAACAUUUGAAGUUCCAGCAUGGUUUGUACCCAGGAAGGUUUUUACGUUUGACCUGUGGAGAGCCUGGAUGUUCAUUUAUCUUUCGCACGUACUCUGAUUACAAGCGGCACUUACUCCGAGCACAUGGAGACUGUCUUCACUCUGAGGUCAUCAAUACUUUUGAGCCUGUACCUAACGAUGGAACCUCUGUUUCACAGCCUGUAAAUGUGGCUCAUCCCAUGACAAUUGCUACACAGGUUCCAGUUGAAAAAAGGCAAAUACUGAACAUGUGCAGCUCUGUUAUUGCUCAGGUACAAUCAUCAGGAGUUCCUGAAAGUACUGUGCAGUGUUUAGUUGUUUCAUUGGAGGAACUGGUUAAUGACAUCCAUGCACAUGCAAAACAAUCUGUUGUUGACUGUUUGUCAACUGAUACCAUGAUACAGAUAUCAAGUUGGGAUGUAUGUUUGUUCUGGUGUUGAAAAUGAGAUGCCUUUGUUCAGUAAGAUUGUCAAUAUAAUUGUUAGAUUGCAUUGCUUAUCUUCUAACUUGUAAGGCUUCAACAGUAUAUUUCAAUGAUCACUUAAAUGCAUUUGUUAUUGAGGAUGGAUUAGAUGUCUUUGCACUGAUCUCUGUAGAUGAUCUGGUGUACUAUAGACCUUAUGAUAGGCAAUUUUCAAAUGGCACUGAUGACAAAAUGUACAUUGUCCCAUACUGUAAUUUUGUAUAACUUGUUUAUUUGUGGUGUAUCAGAAUACAAAGUAUUUUGGAACGUUAA